UACUUUAUGCUCGAUCUGGUUGAUUAUUUGUUUCAUACAGUCCACUGUACCACCAACUGUGCAUACUGCAUCUUGUGGAAAUUGCAUAUAUGGUGAUCUUUUGCCGGCAUCCCUCGGAGUUUCAGUUCCAACCCAGCAGAACAAUCUCAUGGCCAACACUGAACUCAGAAGUUGUUAUUCAGAAGCUAAGUUUGUUGUUGCAUCCAACAAUGGCAAUAACGGAAUUAGCAUCUGUCCUCGAUGUCUGGAAGGAGCUGCCCCUUUCUUCAUCGUCCAUUUCAAAGUUAAUUACAUACAGUGGUGAUUCACGUAGCCUUCAUCUAGACGAACCCGUGCCGCCAUACUGGUGAAUUUUUUAAUCAAGAUACGAAAGCAACUACAACGUGUGGCGCUGGGCACGACCUGCCUCGUCACAUCUCUAUACCGCCAUCUCUUUCGAGCAUCCGCAGCCAUCUUCCUGGUCUGACGUCUUGUCGCCAUCUCCUCUCGCAAAUCUACUCUGGCCACAUAUGUUGUAGCCGCCACAUCCUGACUAGGGACUCUUCUAAGACCGCCAUGGUGUUCAUUACCUGCUGGCACCCCAUGCGUUCGGUACUGCCCAGUCCUCAACUCGUCACCUUCAUCUCUCCUGCAUCUGCUCUGGCCAGAUUUGCCGCCACUGCGAUAUCCUGAUCAGGCACUCCUUUAAGACCACUUGGUCGCUCAUUACCUGUCAGGCAGCCUAUGUGCUUGCUACUGCCACUGGCCAGCUCCCCCACACUCCCUCUUUCUCAUCAUCUCUUCUUCAUACUCUUUGUUGGUGUACAACACUUGGUCCUUGCGCACGGCACAGAUCGUGUUGGAUUUCCCGCCCUCUCCUGCUACCUACGCUCCUUCAUCCUCCCUGGCUCCUUCCACAUAGCGUACUGUAAGACCACCUACCGGGGCGUUCAUCAGUAGAUUAUUCGUUCAAAAUGUGAUAAAACCUCCCGUCUACUGAUUGUUCUCACGAUCGAGCUGCCGCCGGGAGAAGGUGUACGGCUUUGGACAGAACUCGAUAUACAAGACAUGAUUGAUGAUGAAAUGUUGGAAAAUU